CUUCCUCUAGUUUAAGUAGAACAACUGUUUUGCACACAGUAGGCAGGAUUCCCUGAGGAAGU
rnacentral:tRNA from 1 species